UCCACGGGGGUGUUUCAGCAGUCAGCCACCAGCAAGGGGGGGAGGCCUCCCAACGGGGGAGUAGGGGAUAGAAGCCUGGUCAAGUGAGCUCCGUGGGUCCGCGCUACGGGCCGUGGAAGACUCAGGGGCUGAGCGGCGCCAGCCGCAAGAUGGCCGCCACCUGCCGGUCACACGCGGCCUGGCCGUUACCUGAAGUGGAGCACCCAGCCUCCGGUUGCCUGCAGGGGAUGAUGAUCCAGUGGUGGGGAGCGGUGCACAGGCGGGAGAGAGUGUCCGCCCCGCCAGCAGCGCAGACAGUCCUCCGCAGCGGCCUCCGUCUGUUGUCAAGGCCCCGGUUACCGCAGUGGAGGUGAGGGGGCCGCUGUGCGUGCGGGCGUCUCUGCCGAGGGUACGGGGACUUCAGCGACAGGCAGCGGGUCAGGCAGUGCCGAUAGCCACUCCAGGGAUGUCACUGCAGCAGGUGUCCUCUGGAUUUGGGACUUUUGGUUCGCCCACCCGGGCAGGCUGGAAAAUCGAGGUCCCGGCUUCAGAGUGGAGGUAGGCCGCAACCUGCAGGAGUGUUCUACAACACUCCCCGACUCCGCAGCACAAACCUAUCCACCGCAGGUGGACUUCACAGCAGGAACACCUCAGCGGGACAUCUCAUUUCAUCAGGAGAUUGUGAAAUGGAAGUAAAUGUCACCCAAGAUACUUGAAGUCAAUUCCCAGAUAGCCCCGGUAUCCAUCCAGUACUUCCCGGUGCAGCUAGCUCAUCGGACGGCUUUGGAUACGGAAGAGCCAUCGGACGCUGUGUGUAUUGUGGGUCGAGUGCAUCAUCAGCUAGCAGUCUCCCCGCUUCGCUUCUAUCAAACACAGCCAGCCUUCUGUACCCCAGCCGGAAUAAGAGAUUUACCAAUGUUAUAUGUGGAAAGUGCAUCUGACAUAAGACAGAGUCCGGUCACCAGAUUAGCCAAAUUUGGAACCUGGAAGUCACCAGAAGCAGUAGCAAGGAAGCAGGCAAGGAGAAUCGUCAGAUGGACCAGAUCAGAACACAGGAAAUCACACUGGGCAUUCACGCAGUGAACUCUACGCAAGUAGAAACCAUGCUGCGGUUUGUUGUCUGCGACUAUAUCCAAAUGAAAGAUGUGAUGUUCUCCAUGCUAGAGUUCCAGGAAGAAACUGGUCAGAUCUCUGGGCUGAUAACACACAGGAACAUGAUGUGAGGAGGAGAGCAGGCGUAUAAUAGAGGCUGAUGUCCCCUGAUGGAAAAGAAGAUUAUAUAACAUCUCCUGCUGCUCCUGCUAUCUUCAUUUCAGUAACAAAAAAAAAAUCACUAUGAACAAUAGAAUAUAUCACAGCUCUUGUGGCAAAUGUGAUAAUAAUACUAUUAUUAUCUGAGAGCGGCUCCCUGCUGCCCGGUUACAGCUGUGCUGAUGAGGAGACUGAGGCACUGAUACUAUAUCUGAGAGUUACCUCCCUGCUGCCCGGUUACAGCUGUGCUGAUGAGAGGACUGAGGCACUGAUACUAUAUCUGAGAGCGGCUCCCUGCUGCCCGGUUACAGCUGUGCUGAUGAGGAGACUGAGGCACUGAUACUAUAUCUGAGAGUUACCUCCCUGCUGCCCGGUUACAGCUGUGCUGAUGAGAAGACUGAGGCACUGAUACUAUAUCUGAGAUCGGCUCCCUGCUGCCCGGUUACAACUGUGCUGAUGAGAGGACUGAGGCACUUAUACUACAUCUGAGAUCGGCUCCCUGCUGCCCGGUUACAGCUGUGCUGAUGAGAAGACUGAGGCACUGAUACUAUAUCUGAGAUCGGCUCCCUGCUGCCCGGUUACAGCUGUGCUGAUGAGACAGCAUAAAGUACCACAGAGAGAACAGACGCCAUCAUGUGACCCAGAGAGCAUCGGAUAUUGGAAAGAAUACACUUUAUUAAAAUACCCAAGAAGAAAACAUUCUGUAAGGUCACCACAAAACAUGUAUAGUGUAGUCUUAGAGCUGUGAACAAUGAAUCAAAUGUACAGAGAAAGAAUAUUAAGAGGAAAUUAAAUAAAACUUUUGUAAAGAUAA